AGAUUAUAAGCAUUGCAAUUCAUUGUUACUGAAGAGAAGAUUUUUUUUUUUUUUUUUUUCUAAAAAUUAG
rnacentral:tRNA from 1 species